AACAGGUCCUACAACUCCAUGUCCAGCAUCUGGAGUACAUGGCAUGAUGUCCUCUCCAAAGGGCUUGUGUAGCUCCAUCCCUGUAGCCUUGUUGGUUGCAGCCCAAGUGGCCUUUUGGUGAUGACAAAAGGAAGUCUAAUAGAGUAGAAGAAGGAGAUAGGAAAGAGGAGAGAAGAUGGUUUGUCUCUGCUCGAUUCCUGCAGCUUUCCUAGGGUGAUGUCCCACAUUAGUGGCAUUUCUUAAUCUCAGGGGUCCACUCUGCAGCUUUGGCUUCUUUACAUCUCCACACUUUGACUUCUCAGAAGGUGCCCACUGGGAUUCCAACCCUGCUGCACUUUGCCUGCCUUCCCAGGUCUUCCUUUGAAAUCCUGGUGAAAGGCUCCAUACACCUCAAACUCCAGCAUUCUGUAUUCUUGCAGAACCAGCACCAGGUGGUUGAUGCCAAGGUCUGCAGCCAUCUCAAGCAGUAGCCAAACCUCAAUGGACCCUGGCUGCAGAAGCUUCUGAGUGUCUAGGUGACUGAGCAUCUUGAAAAACUUCCUAGGCCACCACUUUGUACAAAAAGGGUUCCCACUGGUCUCUUCUCAAGAGAAUUUUCACUUUUACUCCCUUGAGCCUGAGAUGGGUGUGGUCUUGCCUGCUCCUGAGAUGCCCUCAAGCCAUCUUUUUUACUGUUUCUGGGCAGAGUCUUUGACAACUGUAACCUCCUUAGCCCCAGUUUUACUCCUGCCUUUCAAGUACAAGUUUUUCAAAUUUUUCUGCCCUGCUUUUUGCUCUGAAUAUUACAAUAAACUUGGUAAAAACCUCCACUUCCUGAAUGCUGUGCCACCUAGACAUUUCUUCCACCAGAUUAUGAAGUCCAUUGCUUUUAAAAUCAGCCUCACAGAAAGUCUCAGAAACUUCUCAGCCAGAACAUAACAUGAAUGGCUUAUAGUCCAAAUAUGAAUAAUGUCCUCCUCUUCCUCUAAAACCUCUUGAGCCCUGUCUUCACUGUCCACGUUUUUUUGGCAUUCUGAUAUUCUGGACUUCCACAAUAAUCGACCAUUAAGCUCUGCUUACCACAAUCAAAAGCAUUUGCAGCUUGCUCUGCUAUACCUCCCAAAAUUCCUCCAACUAAUUCCAAAAAGCUCCAAAGAUUUUGAACCACAUGGUCAGUUUAGUCACAGCAAUGACCCUACUUCUUGGUACCAAUUUCUGUUUUAGUCAGCUAUUUUGUCACUGUAACUAAAAGACCUAACCAGCACAAUUAUAGAGGAGGAGCAGUUUAUUUGAGGGCUGAUGGUUUCAAAGGUCUUAGUUCAUAGAUGGCUGGCUCCAUUCCUUGGGGCUCCAGGUCAGGCAGAACAUGAUGAAAG
rnacentral:lncRNA from 1 species